UUUUACAUAUACACAGAUGUUCAACAAUCUAUUAUAAUAUAGGUAGAUACAGUGUUUUGUUCAUAAAAUAACCAUGAAUCAAUAUUCAAUAUUAUUUUCCAUAAUAUAUUCCAUAAUAUUCCAUAUAAUUAUACAAGUAAAAUGUGUAUCGGGAGGAUUUGACAAUUUAACAUUGAAAAAAUGGUACUUAAUUUCCCGUGGACGUGGAUUUUCUAUACAUUUUUUUGCUUUUUCUGCUUUUUUUUGAACAUCCGUGUAUACAUAUAAAUAUCAUCAAUUAUAAAUUAAUUCAAUAAAACAUUUUAGAUAUAAUGUGUACAUUCGUAAUAUAAAUAUUAUUAUAAUAUGUCAUAAUAAAAGCUAGAUGACUUAAAACAUAAGACUAGAUAAUCGUAUUAUUGUACAUAUUAAUACUAAAAAACAAUAAAGCUACAGAAUACAGGUAAAAUUGUAAUGUUUAAGUUGUUAAUUGGUUAAUGUAUUCACACGUAAGACAUUUAUAUAUAAA